UGGGGAAUUUUGGACAAUGGGGGAAACCCUGAUCCAGCCAUCCCGCGUGUGCGAUGAAGGCCUUCGGGUUGUAAAGCACUUUUGGCGGGAAAGAAACGUCAUGGGUUAAUACCCCGUGAAACUGACGGUACCUGCAGAAUAAGCACAGGCUAACUACGUGCCAGCAGCCGCGGUAAUACGUAGGGUGCAAGCGUUAAUCGGAAUUACUGGGCGUAAAGCGUGCGCAGGCGGUUCGGAAAGAAAGAUGUGAAAUCCCAGAGCUCAACUUUGGAACUGCAUUUUUAACUACCGGGCUAGAGUGUGUCAGAGGGAGGUGGAAUUCCGCGUGUAGCAGUGAAAUGCGUAGAUAUGCGGAGGAACACCGAUGGCGAAGGCAGCCUCCUGGGAUAACACUGACGCUCAUGCACGAAAGCGUGGGGAGCAAACAGG
rnacentral:rRNA from 1 species